rnacentral:rRNA from 1 species
AGUAGUCAUAUGCUUGUCUCAAAGAUUAAGCCAUGCAUGUCUAAGUAUAAAUGGAUUAUACAGUGAAACUGCGAAUGGCUCAUUAAAUCAGUUAUAGUUUAUUUGAUAAUAUCUCUUACUUGGAUAACCGUAAUAAUUUUAGAGCUAAUACAUGCGUAAAAGUGCGACUUUACGGAAGCACUGUAUUUAUUAGAUACAAAACCAUCCAGCUUCGGCUGUUACCUUGGUGAUUCAUAAUAACUUAACGAAUCGUAUGACUUUAUGUCGACGAUGAUUCAUUCAAAUUUCUGCCCUAUCAACUUUCGAUGGUAAGGUAUUGGCUUACCAUGGUUACAACGGGUGACGGAGAAUUAGGGUUCGAUUCCGGAGAGGGAGCCUGAGAAACGGCUACCACUUCUACGGAGGGCAGCAGGCGCGCAAAUUACCCAAUCCUGACUCAGGGAGGUAGUGACGAAUAAUAACGAUACGUGACUUCGGUCUAGUAAUUGGAAUGAGUACAAUUUAAACCCCUUAAUGAAAGCCAUUGGAGGGCAAGUCUGGU